UUGGAAGCGCUGAGUCUGAACCACAGGACUGCCCGGAAUGAAACAGAAGCAGAAGAUAUUAAGAGGUGGCCAGAAUACACAGAAGAACUGUACAAAAAAGAUCUUCAUGACCCAGAUAACCACAAUGGUGUGAUUACUCACCUAGAGCCAGACAUCCUGGAAUGUGAAGUCAAAUGGGCCUUAGGAAGCAUCACUACAAACAAAGCUAGUGGAGAUGAUGGAAUUUCAGCUGAACUAUUUCCAAUCCUAUAAGACGAUGCUGUGAAAGUGCUGCACUCAGUAACCAGCAAAUCUGGAAAACUCAGCAGAGGCCACAGGACUGGAAAAGACUCUCAUGGUCACAGUGAGAUCCAGAAUACCUGUUGAACAGAAGUGCUACCAGAGCUUCUCAGGAAGGUCAGAAGAAGUGCUACCAGAGCUCUCAGGAAGGUCAGAAGAAGACUAAAUUGACUCCAGGACCCUCUUCUUUUUUAUGAUCCAUAGAGGGACUUGGCCUGACAAGCCCUCAUGGAAUAUCAUUUAUCCAAAAGGGAUCAGGCUGCUGUGUUCAUCAGUUAAGUGUGAAUCCCGGCUUGCAAUUUAGCAAUAUCUACCGUAACUGAAGGUCAGAAAAGUUUUUAAAAAGUUCUGCCCCUGCCGAAGAACAUAAUAUAGCUUAUUGUGGAUGGUUAAAAAAAUAUGGAAAGCUGCAAAAUUAGAUUAAAAUUACCCUUAGCUUAUCAUGCAGUGAUAACUACU